rnacentral:rRNA from 1 species
AUCGCCGGGAUUGAUCCCUGGUAGUCCCGCCGUAAACGAUGUCUACUAGUCGUUGGGUCCCUUGAGGACUUAGUGACGCAGCUAACGCAAUAAGUAGACCGCCUGGGGAGUACGGCCGCAAGGUUAAAACUCAAAUGAAUUGACGGGGGCCCGCACAAGCGGUGGAGCAUGUGGUUUAAUUCGAUGCAACGCGAAGAACCUUACCUGGUCUUGACAUAUCUAGAAUCCUGCAGAGAUGCGGGAGUGCCUUCGGGAAUUAGAAUACAGGUGCUGCAUGGCUGUCGUCAGCUCGUGUCGUGAGAUGUUGGGUUAAGUCCCGCAACGAGCGCAACCCUUGUCCUUAGUUACCAGCGGGUUAAGCCGGGAACUCUAAGGAUACUGCCAGUGACAAACUGGAGGAAGGCGGGGACGACGUCAAGUCAUCAUGGCCCUUACGACCAGGGCUACACACGUGCUACAAUGGUAGGUACAGAGGGCAGCUACACAGCGAUGUGAUGCGAAUCUCAAAAAGCCUAUCGUAGUCCAGAUUGGAGUCUGCAACUCGACUCCAUGAAGUAGGAAUCGCUAGUAAUCGCGGAUCAGAAUGCCGCGGUGAAUACGUUCCCGGGCCUUGUACACACCGCCCGUCACACCAUGGGAGUUGAUUGCACCAGAAGUGGAUAGCUUAACCUUCGGGGAGGCGUUCACCACGGUGUGGUUGAUGACUGGGGUGAAGUCGUAACAAGGUAGCCGUAGGGGAACCUGCGGCUG